rnacentral:rRNA from 1 species
AGCGAACGCUGGCGGCAGGCCUAACACAUGCAAGUCGAACGAACUCUUCGGAGUUAGUGGCGGACGGGUGAGUAACACGUGGGAACGUGCCUUUUGGUUCGGAAUAACUCAGGGAAACUUGUGCUAAUACCGAAUGUGCUCUUCGGGGGAAAGAUUUAUCGCCAUUAGAGCGGCCCGCGUCUGAUUAGCUGGUUGGUGAGGUAACGGCGCACCAAGGCGACGAUCAGUAGCUGGUCUGAGAGGAUGACCCGCCACACUGGGACUGAGACACGGCCCAGACUCCUACGGGAGGGAGCAGUGGGGAAUCUUGCGCAAUGGGCGAAAGCCUGACGCAGCCAUGCCGCGUGAAUGAUGAAGGUCUUAGGAUUGUAAAAUUCUUUCACCGGGGACGAUAAUGACGGUACCCGGAGAAGAAGCCCCGGCUAACUUCGUG